rnacentral:rRNA from 1 species
AGUUGUGGACAAACCUCCUUGUCUAAGCCUGAUCUCGUCAGAUCUCAGAAGCUAAGCAGGGUGGAGCCUAGUUAGUACUUGGAUGGUAGAUGGUUGGAAAUAUCAGUUGUUGUGUCUU